GCCACAAGGGAGGACUAGCAAACAGAGUGUUCUGUUGUGGUCAGGCCCGGGAGAGCUGUCUCCAGCGUGGCAUGGAGAGCGGCCAGAAGGGCCCCGGGAGCCUCUGGAACGACUACCUCCUACCUCUUUCACCCAGUGGCCAGGUCAUCCCUGGGCCUCUUCGGCUGCAGUUAGAAACCUCAAGGGGUUUUGGGACUCCCUGUGUUCUAAGGCUGACCUUGGGUUAUCUGGUCUCCUGACUCCACCUCACCAGUGCUCCACAAGGACAGGUGAUGAAGGAAAAGCCCGGACGUCUGGCUUCCCUGUGUUCCAGGCUUUUGCUGGGCUCCUCUGAGUGAAAUACUGGCCAAACAGAGCUCAUCCGGAAAGCCCAGGACCCAAAUAGCCUACCUGCUUCCUCUGCCUUGGUCAAUCCCUUUCUCAGUGAGCUGUGUUUAGGAGAACUGUUGGUCUUACCCCAGGGCCAGUCCCCAAGCUAGGACCCUAGCCAGUGUCCAGGAAGUGAUUGGGGACCCCUCGCCUUCUCUGGGCAAGUGCCGGCAGGAGUCAUUGCUGCUGAUGGAAGAGACCUUAAUCAAGAUAGGAUCCGUAGGGGCUGGAGAGAUGGCUCAGAGGUUAAGAGCACUGUCUGCUCUUCCGGAGGUCCUGAGUUCAAUUCCCAGCAACCACAUGGUGGCUCACAACCAUCUGUAAUGAAAUCUGGCUGCAGGCA